UUGAUAUGUAUCUGUUUCGAUGGAGGCGGUGAUAGUGUACAAAGAAGUUGUGAAAUAGAUGGAGGCUUACCAAGCAAUCAUCAAGAGUUUCCAAGCCGAUAUGGCGAUAUGGAUCUGUUUCGAUGGAGGCGGUGAUUGCGUCAAUAACUUGUGUUAGGAAUUCCACCCGCGAACCAAACCUCACGGUAACAGAAAGAAGAAGUUCAACAUCUUGAUCACAGUGGAGGGCUCUUACAGUAUGAAACCUUGGUUUACAUCAGGUCUUGUAUAUUGGCGCCACAAGUGGAACACCUUCAACAGAUGAUGCAGCCAUUGUUGCUGGUAAGGUUUCUGAACUUGUAAUAUAUUGCAAUAUGGUGAUGAGAAAGAAUGUGUUUAGAGAGUGGAAAAUGAACGACUAUUUAUAGAGUUUGGAUAGUUAGUAUGUUAUAGGGUUGAGAGAAUAUUUAAAAAUCUUGAUGAGCAAGCAUUUCGUAUAAUUCGAAAUCUUUUAAGUUGGGAAAUACAGAGAAUAUGCUAGGUUGAUGCUUAAACAGAUUACGAUAAAAUCUUUUGGUUAUGAAGCAAUUUCCUUUUCGAUAAAGUGAAAUGAAUAUCGAAUUAUAUGUAGGAAACAAAUGAUAAAUGUAGCAUUAAAAUAGGAAACAGUUUGCCUUACGAAAAUCAAUUUGCUAUAACUACAUAUACUCUCCAUAUCUUGAAAAAAUCAGAGAGUAAAUGUCUAUUGGAUUUAAUGUAAGGAGUAUUGAUUAAGGAAUGAUCCGAGUCAAAUAUUUCGGGUAAAAUAAUCAUAAUUGGAAGGAUCCGAGAGUCAUUAAUUCCGGGUCGAAAUCAUUAAAUCUCCGGGUCAAAAUUAAACAAAUUUUGACCCGAUUGGGGACCCCAAAAACUGUUGCAAAAAUGUAU